CAAUAGCGUAUAUUUAAGUUGCUGCAGUUAAAAAGCUCGUAGUUGGAUUUCGGGUGGGAAUGGCCGGUCCGCCGUUUGGUGUGCACUGGUUGGUUUUAACUUCCUGUAGAGGACGUGCUCUGGGUUUAACGACCUGGACUCGGAGUCUACGUGGUUACUUUGAAAAAAUUAGAGUGUUCAAAGCGGGCUUACGCUUGAAUAUUUCAGCAUGGAAUAACACUAUAGGACUCCUGUCCUAUUUCGUUGGUCUCGGGACGGGAGUAAUGAUUAAGAGGAACAGUUGGGGGCAUUCGUAUUUCAUUGUCAGAGGUGAAAUUCUUGGAUUUAUGAAAGACGAACUUCUGCGAAAGCAUUUGCCAAGGAUGUUUUCAUUAA
rnacentral:rRNA from 1 species